GACGACGCUGGCGGCGUGGAUUAGGCAUGCAAGUCGGACGGUAGGGCUUUAUCGUAAGAUAGAGUUUGAGAGUGGCGAACGGGUGAGUAACACGUAGGAAUCUACCCUUAAGACGGGACAACCCAGGGAAACUUGGGCUAAUACCGGAUGAGAGUGCGAGAGAUUGCAUUUAAAAGGAUGGCGAAAGUUGUCGCUUAGGGAUGAGCCUGCGGUCUAUUAGUUAGUUGGUGAGGUAAGAGCUCACCAAGGCGAUGAUAGAUAGGCGGCCUUAACGGGUGGUCGCCCACACUGGGAUUGAGAUACGGCCCAGACUCCUACGGGAGGCAGCAGUCGAGAAUAGUCUACAAUGGCCGGAAGGCUGAUAGCGCGACGCCGCGUGAACGAGGGAGCCCUUCGGGGUGUAAAGUUCUUUUCUAUACGAGCAGUGCUAUAUAUAUGGAUAGUAUAUAUAGAGGGAUAGUAGUAUAGGAAUAAGCAACGGCUAACUCCGUG
rnacentral:rRNA from 1 species